rnacentral:rRNA from 1 species
GACGAACGCUGGCGGCGCGCCUAACACAUGCAAGUCGAACGAGCGAGAGAGAGCUUGCUUUCCUGAGCGAGUGGCGAACGGGUGAGUAACGCGUGAGGAACCUGCCUCAAAGAGGGGGACAACAGUUGGAAACGACUGCUAAUACCGCAUAAGCCCACGACCCGGCAUCGGGUUAGAGGGAAAAGGAGUGAUCCGCUUUGAGAUGGCCUCGCGUCCGAUUAGCUAGUUGGUGAGGUAACGGCCCACCAAGGCGACGAUCGGUAGCCGGACUGAGAGGUUGAACGGCCACAUUGGGACUGAGACACGGCCCAG